UCCGGUUUGUCACCGGCAGUCUCCCAUGAGUCCCCAACUAAAUGCUGGCAACAUGGGACGGGGGUUGCGCUCGUUGCGGGACUUAACCCAACAUCUCACGGCACGAGCUGACGACAGCCAUGCAGCAUCUGUGCACCGGCCCCGAAGGGGGGCCGUGUUUCCACGGCUUACCGGUGCGUGUCAAGCCUUGGUAAGGUUCUGCGCGUUGCGUCGAAUUAAACAACAUGCUCCGCUGCUUGUGCGGGCCCCCGUCAAUUCCUUUGAGUUUUAGCCUUGCGGCCGUACUCCCCAGGCGGGGUGCUUAAUGCGUUAGCUUCGGCACGGACGGAGUCGACACCGCCCACACCUAGCACCCAUCGUUUACGGCGUGGACUAC
rnacentral:misc_RNA from 1 species